AUUGAACGCUGGCGGCAUGCUUUACACAUGCAAGUCGAACGGUAACAGGCCGCAAGGUGCUGACGAGUGGCGAACGGGUGAGUAAUGCAUCGGAACGUGCCCAGUCGUGGGGGAUAACGCAGCGAAAGUUGCGCUAAUACCGCAUACGAUCUAUGGAUGAAAGCGGGGGACCGUAAGGCCUCGCGCGAUUGGAGCGGCCGAUGUCAGAUUAGGUAGUUGGUGGGGUAAAGGCUCACCAAGCCGACGAUCUGUAGCUGGUCUGAGAGGACGACCAGCCACACUGGGACUGAGACACGGCCCAGACUCCUACGGGAGGCAGCAGUGGGGAAUUUUGGACAAUGGGCGCAAGCCUGAUCCAGCAAUGCCGCGUGCAGGAAGAAGGCCCUCGGGUUGUAAACUGCUUUUGUACGGAACGAAACGGUCCUGGUUAAUACCCGGGGCUAAUGACGGUACCGUAAGAAUAAGCACCGGCUAACUACGCGCCAGCCGCCGCAGUAACAC
rnacentral:rRNA from 1 species